AAAGGACAGUCAGUACUAUAAACAUGCACUAAAAAUAAAGCACUGUGAAGAGACAGAGGAAAAAUAAGAACUGCAGCUAAUAUUAUAAAACCAAAACAAAUGGGUAAAUAUAUAAUUUCUAAUUUUUCUUUACAUUAACCCUUAAAACCUGCCUUGUCAUGAAUUGUGAUCCCUACGUGGAUACAGUGGCAAAAAAACAGCUUCAGCUGCUGUAGAUCUGCGAUCCCAAAACCAGGGGCAUGAGUCAGGGGGCUGACGGGCUGGGGCCCCGAGUGGAGUUCUGAAGAGCCCCAAGUCUUAUUUUGCCACCAUUUUAUUAUUAGUCUACAGUCCUCUGUAAUAGUGAGAGAGAGAAAUAACACCUCCAAUUGUAUCAUUUGUGACAGCGUCACUUUAAUUUGGAGUUUAUAGGGGUGGAAUGGGGGUGUUUAUUGUGGGUACACUGUAGCAUUUUAAUGCAGUGGAGCAAAGGGUUAAUACAGCAUGGCUUCAGGUUAAUUUAGCAUGUGUGGAUUUAUUAAAUGUUGGUUCAUGUAAUAUUCUGAAUUCGAAGAUUUGAUGUCACAUUAUGAUUUAUUGAACACAUUGUGGUUUUGAGUUGGAUUCAGAGGGGAAUGGUAUAGGGCUGGUUUUAGUUGAGGCUUAAGUCAAUUAUAUGUGGGAAAGCCAUAAAAGUUACCCUUCAGUAAGAGCCUGGUCUAUUUGCCACCUAGAAAUGCCCAUUUCCAAAACCACCAUAGGAAUUGCAGUUCACCUAACUGGGGAACAACCUAGUGACUCUAGUUCUAUUCUAACUGGGGAUUUACCUUUUGCCCAUGGGGCUAUUACGCAAGCAUUUAAAGCAGCUGCUUAGAGUAAACUCAAUCAGAUAUCACCUUUAACUCUUUCGGGGACCAAUGACACUCCCAAACUGUUAUGAUGAAACUGAAUUAGUCCAUUCAUCGUCCAUAAAGAGUUAAGAACAAAAAAAUAAAAAUAAACUGCGCGUGCCCGUGUUUGUAUGAUGUGAGUGUAUGUAUCAUUGCAUAUCUAUGUAUGCAUGUCACUGUGUACAUAGGUGGAGGACGGGUCAGGAGAUAAACACAAAGGGAUGAGUGGGCACGAAACUACACAAAAGUUUAAAACUUAAGGGGGGUACCAAUAUAGAUUUCCACUCCGGGUGACAAGUGACCUAGCUACACCUCUGUGUUGCAAUGUUCAGGCUUUGCAGAGUGGACUGUGAGUGAGCCUGAAUUUGGCCUGAAUGACAGUCGUACCAAAAGCUGCCAGGCAGCUGAAAUCUGAACGUGGUUUGUUAAAAUCUGGGCCUGGAUGCCUAACUGGAUCCAAACUCUUUGUCCACUGACAGCUAGCAGCUAAAGAGCGAAUAGUGAACAAAAUACUCUGAGGAGUGACGGUUAAGUUCUUUGAUGUUUAGCCAGUGGACUAGCCUCCACAUUAAAAAGUUUUUUACAAAAAAAAGUAUGGGGUCAAUUUGAACCCCAUGUUAGUAAUUGAGAGAUCCAAUACCCCCCCCCCCCUCCACUGGCCAUGGCAUGAGUGGGAGAAUGUAUAAUAAACAGUGAGCUGCACUGUAAUUAAAAACUAUCAACUGAGCAGCUAUUGGUAAUGGAGUCUGUAAAUUACCGUGGGGGAGGAGAGAAUACCUGGCACAGAGAUACCUCGUGAUCCCAACCAUAGGCAUCAGGUGGAGGCUUAAAAUUCAAUAGUGGGAUGGGCUAGCCGACCCCUGCCCCCACCUGUUGCCAGCAAGUGGGGGAUCUAUAAAAAGAAAUAUGGGAUAUACAUACUAAAGCAGGGGUAUGCAACCUUCAGUACUCCAAAUGUAAACUAUAACAAAGAGCAUUAUGGGAGAUGUAUUCAAAACUUCUAAACUGUAGAAGGUUGCUUACUGUUAUGGUUCUCACCGUGACAUCCAGACGUGGUCGCCCCAGACGUGCCCAACAGGGGACAUGAACCUGGAUCCUGCUGUGUCGUGGGCCUGCUGUUUUGCCUUCCAGCCACAAUUCAGCUCAUGUAUCAACAUGAAGUCCGAUCUUGCCUUAUCUCCAGCAUUAAGGGGCUAGACAUUUCCUGUGGCUGCCCCUGUCAAUCUCAGUCCACCUGAAGCAGAUGCCAAAUCAGCCAGGCAUAAAACACUGCCUCUGUCUGAGGGCAGGGCCAGUUCAUUGACUCUGGUUCCUUAAUUUAUGUAUCUUGAUCCAGUGUUCUCCAGAUGGCUCCUGACCUUGGCUUAUCUCAUCGUUUAUUCUGACCUCUGACUUCGGCUUUCCACUACUACUCUUCUGCUUGCCCUUGCCUCUACUGUGACUUGGAGCUAUAUCCUGCACAGCCCCCGUGCACAGAAUCAUAGCCCAGGUGUAUUCUUACCUGGUCACCUUGGUCAGUGUUUAUUUGCAAGGGUGAGCGUAUAACUCUGCACUCCGGACACUUACUCCCCCAGGAACACUAAAAUCAUAGGUGGCAGGUGGGGAGUACUACUAUAAUAUCCUACUGUUCCCCCCGAGCCUCCACCUAUGGUUGGGGGUGAGGGUUAUUUCAAAAAAUCAUGAAGGAGGUAGACAAGCUAUCCCACCUACCCCCGUCACCCUAAAAAUAGUGAGGGGGGGUCAAUAAAAAUCUUAUAUCUGUAAAAUAAAAUUUCUCCCUUAUCUACAGAAGUCUUAGUUUUUCUUAAAUAAUAUUUUCUUAAUUUCCAACAAAGGCCAACUAAAAAGCUUCUGUAUCCCAACACUACUAUUAAAAAUGUUAUAAAACAUUCAGAACCAAAAGAAAAUCAUGAUGAAAAAACAAAAACCACACCACAAAAAAAAAUCUCUGCGUAGACUGAGCUUUCAAAGAAAGAAAAUCCUUUUUAAAUGCUUUGCCAUGUCACUAGAGCCCUCAGAUUGUGCCCGGCUUCUGUAAAUUUACUGAUAGCUCCAUUCAGGUGUUCUUUUUGAAACAAGGUAUAAACUGGUUGCACAAGCAUGCAGUCUUGGCAUAGAGUACGUCAAAGUAAUAUGUGAAGGAUCCUGUUGGACAGGCAAGCCUCAUCUUAUGAGAACUAGAUCCCAAAUCAAUGUCGUGUUCAAAGCGUUGUCUUCUAUAAAGUGGUGCAAAUAUGUAAAAGUGGAAGAGUCACCAAUGGAAUGCGUUGGCAAGUUCCACUUAUUCCCAUAAUAAUUGUCCCACUAUUAGUACUUUAGACCAUUUUUUUCAAACAGAAUGGUUUUAUAAAUGUUGCCCAUUGAUUAAUUGUUUUAUUUAAUUGGAAGCACAUUACUUCCACGUAUAACUGGGCAGCAUUUUCACCCUCUUCCCAACAGAAUGCAAAAGUCAUACGUGUCCCUCAUAAUUUCACAAAAAGGUUUAUUUGCUAAAUUACAAAUUGAACUACAAUUUAUAUCUGAAUGCUAAAACUGAGGAUAUAUCAGCUGAUAGUCCUUUUUAAUACACAGGCAAAGUGUGAGCAGGAGUGGCUGUCUGUGAUAUCUUAUUACAGAUACAAUAUAUAUCUGCAAGUCUUCUAGGAAUCCCAGCGUAGCAACCACAGAAAAACACACGUUUAUCGACCAGAUCAUUAAUUUUUGUCAUACCAGUUCAUGCAACAGAAACAUACUUAGAGACAUUCCAGCCUCGUAUGUUUGUCUUACAUGACUUUUUACCAUUAUGUGUACACAUCAGGUAAGAAGUUAAACUGUUCUUAAAUGGUUUGACUACUUACAUGGGAUGGUGGCAUUGCACUCCUGGCACCAUAACCACUACAGUGCACUUUCUAGCAAACUGGCAGGUCUUCGCAUAAGGAUUGCAUGCCACCUUGCCAUAACAAACAAUGGUAUUUGUUGAAAACAAAAUGCAAUAAAUAAGAAUCAAUGGAAGAAAGGAUAGUUACAGAUAGCUUGGAGAUACACACACCGUAUAGAGGUACAAAUAUAAUCCUACUUAGAGAUAUAUAAAAUAAUGUUGCCAAAUAAAUAGCUGUAUAUAAUUAUUCCAUGAUGUGAAUUUUAGAUACUGCCGAGCGGCAAUACUCAUACAGUCUAACGCAUAUCUUCAAACAGUCCCAGAUCCAGUGGAAAAGACCCAUAUUGAAAACAAGAUGAGUGCAUUAUUAAACAUGCAUGAGAAUGCAUGAUUCUAUGCCAAGACGUUUCUGCCCAUAAGAGUGCGUAAGCAAAACGGCCAAGCACCAUAACCACAUACAACAUAUCUACUACUAUAUCCUCUACAGUUAGCCUUCCCGAGCUAUGCCCUGCAGUGUAGGGCUAGCUCAAUGGCUGAGAGUGUCAUCUGAUCGCACUCAGCCAAUGAGUUAAGAGUGCUUCUGAUUUUCUGUUGGAAGUAGUGGUGGCAGGGAGUGAUGUCCAGUAGAUAUCAGGUAAGAAGUUAAACUGUUCUUAAAUGGUUUGACUACUUACAUGGGAUGGUGGCAUUGCACUCCUGGCACCAUAACCACUACAGUGCACUUUCUAGCAAACUGGCAGGUCUUCGCAUAAGGAUUGCAUGCCACCUUGCCAUAACAAACAAGUUAUUGAAAUAAAAAUACCGUAUAUCACCGUAUCAUAGUCGCACCCUGGUUUUUUGCAGACCAAAAAUUGGUUCAAAUUCAAUUCAUCACGUAAUAGUCGCAUAAUUGACCAUUUCUGUUUUUGUUGUGACAUUCUUAGUCUUGAAAACUGAUGGCGAACAUCCUACUGAUCUUAUACCGAAGAGAGGGUUUAUUACCUAUCAGUUUUUUUAUAUUUUGGUGCAUUUUGUCAAUGUAAUGCAUUAAGAAAUGAAAGGAGGAAAGGGAUCAGGAUCAGAGAUUAUGUAAUGCAUUAGAAAAUAUGCUGUUAUGUUAUUAGCAACUAUUAUAUUAUCAACUGUUAAAAACAUUUUUUUUUUAAAAACAAAGCUUUGCAUAUAUAAUAUCGCAAAAAAUAAAGUUUCACGUAAUAGUCAUACACCGCAUAAUGGUCGCACCCCCCAUUUUUAAGGAAAGGAAUUAGGCAUAAAAUCUGCAACCAUUAUGCAGUGAAAUACGGUAUUUUUUUUGUAUAGUUAAUUUAUGUGUCAUUAAUACAAAAUUAUUUCUCUUGCAAAUAGAUGAAGAAUAGCAAGUUCAUCAAAUGUGUACAGCAAAUGGCAUCCCAACUACACACUGCUACUAUUAGGGAAGAGGUGAUAAAGGUAGCAAUCCUGACAUCCUUUACAGAUUAUGGCUGUGCCCCAUCUGGAAGAUAUUUUUGUGACCACCCCAGUUCGUGUCUCCUACCCAAAGGUGUUUAAAGCUGUGCCCGGCUUCUGUAAAUUUACUGAUAGCUCCAUUCAGGUGUUCUUUUUGAAACAAGAUAUAAACUGGUUGCACAAGCAUGCAGUCUUGGCAUAGAGUCCGUCUAAGUAAUAAAAACCCUGGAAUAUGGGGCAAGGCCAGCAUUAAAAUAAUUGUCUCCUCAACUCUUCCCUUCCAAGAGAGUCAACUACAAUCAAACCUAUGGAUUACUUUGACAAGUAGAUACUCUGGGACAGAUAGCAGGAAAUUAUGUAGCAGUUAACAUAAAAAUAAAGUGGAUUCUAUUAGAUAAAUUACUUAUACUAGCCUGUAUACCUCAUUGCACAAGUUCAUUGUGUAAUCAACUGGUAAUGUAGAACUCUACAGUAACAGGUCCAGCAUUGUAUCAGUGUGCGUGUAUCAUCUCGAUAAAGCAGGUGGUGAUAGCAUGUGAUCUUGCUGCUCUCUACAACAUAAGGCGCAGAUAACAAGAGAAGUUCAAAACUUCAGGACCCUUGGACUUGUGAGUCUGAUAGCAAAUUCAAUUCCAACAACUACAUGCCUGUUUGACAAAUGUUUUGUUCAAACACCAAAAGUAAAAACGUGAUAUGUGACUUUUUGUUAGAGCAAUAACUAGAAAAUUUAAAGAUACUAGAACUGGACCUCUAGAAUGUAGCGUGAUCUGAAAUCUCCAGAGUGUUCAGACAACUGAAUUUGGCCUCCAGAAUAUUGAAUGUCCAAACACUAGAAACUGACUUUCAGAAUGUUCAGCCACUAAAACAGGACAUCCAGAUUGGACAAACACUAGAACAGGACCUCUAAAAGCAACAGUCAUUAGGACAGGACCUCCAGAAUGGGCAGACAUUAAAAUAUGACCUACAGAAUAGGUAGACAUGAAAAUAGGACCUCUGGAAUGGCAAGACAUCGGUAUAGGACCUCUACAAUGGUCAGACAUUAAAAUUGGACCUCCAGAAUGCAUAGACAUAAGAAUAGGAACUCCAAAAUUAACAGAAAUUUGAAUAGGGCCACUGAAAUAGACAGACAUUUAUCUAAGCCCCUGGGGUGUUGUAGGUACUUGGGAUUUGCUAUCUCUGGUGAAAUAAUUAAAAUGUUUUUUUUGGGGGGGUGGGGGGGUUGUUUCCUCUAUUUCCAAGCACUUUGUCAAUUUGAAAACACAUUUACUACCAUAUUAGCACUCACACUGUGGCAUCAGGCCUCCACGAAACUGGAAUCAUAACAUAUUAAUUCAUCCAACGGCCUACAGAGGGAUUUCGCGUGUUCAUUUGCUGUAUUGCAGCUUUGCUUUUCCAGUUUUUAUGUUUGUCAGCACAACAUAUGGGCAAGAUAAUUUGUAUUCCACGUAUUAGGCUGGCAGUGUAAAUUAUUAAAAGCCCUAUUCAAGGAAGCAUUAUCCACCAUAUGUAAUUUUUUUUUCUUGUUUCACAGCAUUUGCUUAAUGCAUCUAUUCAGACAAGAGAGAAAAGAAAAACAUGAAGCUUCAUUUUCCAGAGUACCCAAAAGAAAAUGUUUAUUAUCCAAACAUUCACCACAAGGGACGCAGAAAAUAGACCCUAGUAAUCCCAUAUGACUAACACAAGCUGGUGAUAAUUAGAAACAAACCAUUAGACAGGGUUUACUAACCAAAGCACUGCAAAUACUAUCAUGCCCAGCCAGCCUGAAGCAUCAUGGGAAGCAAAGUCCAGAAACAUCUACACUACUAAGAUUUACCAUCGCUAGACUAUUAGAUUUGAAUGUUGUGCUGCAAGCAUCCUAUGUUGUUGAUUCACUAAACGGUGAAUUCUACCAAAAGCCAAAUUGCAAAACAUAGGCCAACCUAGUUGAGCUGGACAAUUAUCUUGAAUUCUGCUUUCCUUAGAAUUUCAAUUCACUACUGUUAAGUGUAUAAAUCAUUAUAUGAAAAAAAGAUAUUAAUAAAAAGGACACACACGUGUAAUUCUGCAA